rnacentral:sRNA from 1 species
UUUCCAACACCUUUUUAUGGAUUCGCGC